rnacentral:lncRNA from 1 species
AGAAUGGAAGCCAGGAUUUUUGUUAGAAGAAAGCAGUUUCCUUUUGCUUUUGCUCUGGGACUAAAAAAUAUUGCAUGAGGCAAGAAAGUUUAACAGAAAAAAAUUCAAACUAUAGCACAAAAACAAAUGAAAUGUCACUUUGGGGUUCAACAGCUCUGUAACAACAGUCCUGCCCCAUUGGGAAAUUAUAUAUAAAUAUAUAUAUUUAAAAUACAACAGAAAAGGAAUCUCUUGUGAACUUUUGAACCUUUAAACUUUUUUUUUCCAAUAAAAAUAUCUAAAUUAACAGAGGAAAAAUAAAGUUUCUAAAUAAAGUCUUCCCCUAGGAUGGCAUUUUUGUCCUGCCAAAUUAAACUAACCAAAACUUUUGUUUCUCUAGCAAUUUAACUUCCCAAGAAAAAUACACCUGCAGCUAUCAGGAGCUUUGCUUGAACAUGCAGACCUUCUGUUUCAUGAACAACAUUUGAGGGCACUUCUGCAUUGUGGGAGGUUUCAGCCAAAGAAAGAGACAAGCCAGACCUUCCUGGCUGAAACAUCUGAAUUCAGAGGCAACCUGAGAUGUGUUCCAGCCUUACUGGGUUAAUAACCUGCUCUGCAGGCAGCCUCUUUGAUCCUUUCAAAGCUGAUCCUGAAGCAAGGCACGACCUGCUGCGAGGGAAGUGGUACCUGGGGUUUGAGAAGCAGGGGUCCAAGCUUCACUAUGGCAAUGGACAUCCAGAUUUUUCCUGUCCUGAGAUUUUUCUCCAGACUUAAGAUUUGUCCUGUCCUGAUCUUGAGGCCAUCAUUCCAUAUUUAGCAAAAUUUGUGAAGCACAGGGAAGGAGAGAUAUGAAACUUCCUUCAGAAAUAAUAGGUCAGCUCUGAAGACGUUGCUGUCUAGCUGAGGCCUGCAUUGAGCCCUAUGCAGCUCUGAGGGAGCUCUGAAGAUGUUGCUAAGUGAGGCCUGCAUUGACCCACAUGGCGGAAGUGCUGCAGAAAUAAGACUUGAGUCCUACAAAGGAAUGGGGGUUUGUUUUGUCCAGGCACAGGAGUGAAGAACAACCUUGUGGCUGUGUCUCUGAAGCGGCCUGGUACAAUGUAUGCAGCUCUGAGGGAGCUCUGAAGAUGUUGCUGUCUAAGUGUGGCCUGCAUUGACCCACAUGACAGUGCUGCUGAAAUAA